rnacentral:rRNA from 1 species
GACGAACGCUGGCGGCGUGCCUAAUACAUGCAAGUUGAGCGCUGAAGGUUGGUACUUGUACCAACUGGAUGAGCAGCGAACGGGUGAGUAACGCGUGGGGAAUCUGCCUUUGAGCGGGGGACAACAUUUGGAAACGAAUGCUAAUACCGCAUAAAAACUUUAAACACAAGUUUUAAGUUUGAAAGAUGCAAUUGCAUCACUCAAAGAUGAUCCCGCGUUGUAUUAGCUAGUUGGUGAGGUAAAGGCUCACCAAGGCGAUGAUACAUAGCCGACCUGAGAGGGUGAUCGGCCACAUUGGGACUGAGACACGGCCCAAACUCCUACGGGAGGCAGCAGUAGGGAAUCUUCGGCAAUGGACGAAAGUCUGACCGAGCAACGCCGCGGGAGUGAAGAAGGGUGUCGGAUCGUAAAACUCUGUUGGUAGAGAGGAACGUUGGUGAGAGUGGAAAGCUCAUAAAGUGACGGUAACUACCCAGAAAGGGACGGCUAACUACGUG